AAGAGUCCAAACCAAUGACGUACAUAUAGAGCUAGACCGCUCACUGGCCGCUGAGAGGCGGCAAAUAGGAGCUGACUUCCGGUAGUGGCAAGACGGGGAUUUCACAUUGGAACGCCAGCGCGGUGGGUGUGGCUAAUAUCUGACCAUGGUGAAGUCGUGUGCUGCCAUCUCCUGCACCAGUCGAUUUGUGCAUGGCUGUAAUAUUUCCUUUCAUAAGUUUCCCAAGCAGUCCAAGGACAGCACACUGAGAGAGCAAUGGAUACAGGCCAUCAGUAGAGAAGCGGUGAGGACCAAGAGGAGAUGAUCAUAAUUAUGUCUGCAGCAACCAUUUCAGGGAGGAGGACUUCAUCCUCUCAAAACAUGCGCAACACAAGCUUCUCAGGCCAGGGGCUGUACCAGCCCUCAGUUUGGGGAAACCAGAGAAAAAGAUCGCAGUGAGGACAACCCAAAGCAGCCCGGCAGCAGUGGCAUUAUACCAGCACAUGGACAUGGAGCCUGAACAAGAGCCUGAAGAGGGCAGUGCUGCUGUUAGUGAACACCAUGCAUACUGUACAGACACUGACACCCUGAAGAGGAAAUAUGACGAUCUAAGUGUACAGCAUGAAAAGCUAAGGCAGGACUUCAACAAUGCCAAACGUAGAGAGAAGCGCUGCAGAGUGACGUUGGAGGCCAUGUUAGCUAAAACCAAGGAAAUACAAGCUCUGUCUGAUGAUGCUCAUUCCAUGCUUGAUGCAUAUAAAGGUAUUCCUUGUUUAGAAGUACAUAUGAGUGACAUGCAGCAUAUUUAAAUAUAAUUAUGUAACUGCACAUUGCUCACCCACACAGUGCGCUAGAACUGAGAUCAAUGUUUGUUAAUGCUUCAUGAGAUGAUGACUGGUUCACAGAUAACUGUACUUUUGCCUUCCACAACAUUAUCUAAAUAGUUUUGCGGCUGUGAUACCCAACCUUCAUAUGGAAACUA